rnacentral:rRNA from 1 species
CAAUAGCGUAUAUUAAAGUUGUUGCAGUUAAAAAGCUCGUAGUUGGAUUUCGGAGCGGGCCAGUUGGUCCGCCGCAAGGUGUGUUACUGACUGGUCUGUUCUUCUUCGCAAAGACUGCGUGUGCUCUUCGCUGAGUGUGCGUAGGAUUUACGACGUUUACUUUGAAAAAAUUAGAGUGCUCAAAACAAGCGAUUCGCUUGAAUAUUCGUGCAUGGAAUAAUAGAAUAGGUCCUUGGUUCUAUUUUGUUGGUUUUCGGAGCACAAGGAAAUGAUUAAGAGGGACAGACGGGGGCAUUCGUACUCCGACGUUAGAGGUGAAAUUCUUGGAUCGUCGGAUGACGCACUACUGCGAAAGCAUUUGCCAAGAAUGUUUUCAUUAA